rnacentral:rRNA from 1 species
AGUGAACGCUGGCGGCGUGCCUAAUACAUGCAAGUCGAACGCGAAAGUCCUUCGGGAUGAGUAAAGUGGCGCACGGGUGAGUAAUACAUGGGAACAUGCCCUUGGAUGGGGAAUAACGUUUGGAAACGAACGCUAAUACCGCAUAAUCUCGCGAGAGUAAAGGUGGCGCCGCAAGGGCUACCGUCCAAGGAUUGGCCCAUGUCCCAUUAGCUAGUUGGCGGGGUAAUGGCCCACCAAGGCAACGAUGGGUAACUGGUCUGAGAGGAUGAUCAGUCACACUGGAACUGAGACACGGUCCAGACUCCUACGGGAGGCAGCAGUAGGGAAUAUUGCACAAUGGGGGAAACCCUGAUGCAGCAACGCCGCGUGAGUGAAGAAGGCCCUUGGGUUGUAAAGCUCUUUAGCGAGGGAAGAAGGUAGAUACGGUGAACAAUCGUGUUUGCUGACGGUACCUCGAGAAUAAGCACCGGCUAAUUUCGUGCCAGCCGCCGCAGUAAUAC